GAACUGAAGAGUUUGAUCCUGGCUCAGAUUGAACGCUGGCGGAAUGCUUUACACAUGCAAGUCGAACGGCAGCACGGGAGCUUGCUCCUGGUGGCGAGUGGCGAACGGGUGAGUAAUGCGUCGGAACGUA
rnacentral:rRNA from 1 species